UAUCAAUAACUGUCCCAAAGGGAAUAUUCAAACUGAAUUUUGCUGCUGGAGGCACUCCUGUAUCUCCUGCUUUCCUCAUGCUGCUGAUGAGGUUGGGCUGUUCCUGCAGGUCAUGGACCUCCUCAGGAUCACCCUCAGGGGAUGCAGUGAAACACACAGGAAGGCACCACCCAGAAACCCUCACUCAGCAUCACUGACACACUCCAGAGCUUGGGUGGCUGCAGAUGAGAUGGGUGAAGUCAGACCCUGAAGGCUUCCCCUCCAUCCCACAGGAGCCACAGGAGGGAGCAGAUGCUGAUCCUUGCUGUGGUGGGUGAAGAAGAUCACUGAAAUCGUGCUGGCACAUUCCAGACUGCUGGGGAAGCCUCCACAUUCUGGAUCCAGUCCGUUCUGGCUCAUCUCCUGUGUUGUUUAGGUUUAGGUUGUGGUGCUUCCCAUGGCAGGAGAUGGCACAUGCGCCCUUCUCUUGCAGGCUUGCCUGACCAGGCUGGGAUAAGGAUUUUCUCCUUUACCUCUGGGUGCUGAGAGACAGCCACAGCUCUGGUAUGGUGAGAUGGUGAGGCACAACUACUUUAAGGAUUCCACUCUGACCUACAAAUAAUGCAGGACACUCCAGGCUGGAACUGCUACAAUUCAUAGGGCCAUGAGAUUAAAGAAUGCUUGAGAAGAAAACCCUGAAGUCCCAUAAACUUCAUACAUUUCUAUUUGUUGUACAAUAUUCUACAGUUUCUACAUAUAUAUUUCUCCAUAUCUACAUACAUAUGGUACAAGGGGGAAUGGCUUCACACUGACAGAGGAGAGAUUUACUAUUAGUAUUACGAGGAAAUUCUUCACUAGAAGAGUGGUUGAGCCCUGGCAAGGGUUGCCAGGAGAAGACGUGGCAGCCCCAUCCUGAAAGUGUCCAAGGCCAGGUCAAGUUGGUAUGUGAGAGGAGAAGAAAUGUGUGGCUGGACAUGUCCUCCCCAUGUCAGCAUUCAGCAAGCAUUGAGAACAGUCUGCAGCAGUCCACAGGCUGCAAAUUGCUCAUAAAAUCAUGUUUAAACUGUCCAGCCAGCAACACCUGGGCCAGAAGGCAGGAGGGCCUGUAAACCUUCUGAGAAGACUGUGCUGCGUGAGUUGGCCAUGCCUAAUUUUUCCCCUGAGACUGUUACUUUCUAUGCUUGUAGCUUUCAAAAGCUUCCCUGGAAAUCUCCAAGACCAGGUCAGAUGGGCUCUGUAACCUGGUCUAGCUGAAGAUAUCCUUGCUCAUUGCAAGGGGUGUGGUCCAAGUGGCCUUUAAGGGUCCCUUCCAACCCAAAGUACUUUAUGAUUUGACAAAGAGAUCUUCAAAUAAACCAGGGUGUGGAGCUCCCAUUCCAGACACAUCUGAAUCUUAGGCAGUUCCCUGUGAAUCUUCUAAAUCAUAAAAAUUAUACAGAUGUAAAUUAAACUGUCCUGAAGGCAUCUGGCAGAAUGCUAAUGGGGGAACUGUUCUCUUUGCUUGCUUGUCAGUGAUGGAGAUGGACUGAAAUUAACUGGUUUCAACCAGCUUCCAGACAGGGAGAGGGGACAAGUUCACUGGAACCUUUGGGAGCUCAGAGAAUGUGGUUCCUCCAUCCCCUCAGUGCUUUUCUGUGGAGCAGAGCUCCUGCUGACCUGUCAGACCAACACUCACCAUGGAAGAACAGACAUGACCCUGUAAAUAACCCUGCAGGAGUUGUUCAGUAGUGACCUCUGCUUUUUGCCCAUCUCCCUCUCUCUAGCUGGAGUAGGGCUGAAAUUUAUUGAAAACUGUCCUGGUUUCAGCCAGGACACUCCUGUUGUUCAAUACCACCUUGGGUCAUUGCCAGGAUGGAGCAAAGGAUUCUCUUGGGCUCCUGAGAAGAAGGAAAUGGCUUCCACUCAAAAAACGUGGGAGGGGGGAGGCCUUUGGCCCUUGUUCAUUGUCUCAGAGCCUGUGGUAAGCAUUUUGGUGCAUGAAUCACUCUCUCUUUUGUACACUUUUUAAAAAAAAUAUUGUUGCUGUUACUGUUUUUUUUCUUAUCUCAUUGCUGUUUCCAGU